UGCGUAGGCGGCUUUUUAAGUCUGGUGUGAAAUCUCCUGGCUCAACUGGGAGGGUGCGCCGGAUACUGAGAGGCUAGAGUGCGGGAGAGGAAAGUGGAAUUCCUGGUGUAGCGGUGAAAUGCGUAGAUAUCAGGAGGAACACCUGUGGUGUAAACGGCUUUCUGGACCGUAACUGACGCUGAGGCACGAAAGCGUGGGUAGCAAACAGGAUUAGAUACCCUGGUAGUCCACGCCCUAAACGAUGCAUAUUUGGUGUGGGCCAUUCAGUUGGUCCGUGCCGGAGCUAACGCGUUAAAUAUGCCGCCUGGGGAGUACAGUCGCAAGGCUGAA
rnacentral:rRNA from 1 species